rnacentral:lncRNA from 1 species
ACAGUUUUUAUACGACCGCAAAUUUUGAAAAAAUUUUCGUCGUAUAUUGCUAUCACGUUGGCGUCGUCGUCGUCGUCGUCGUCGUCGUCGUCGUCGUCCGGCGUCCGAAUACUUUUAGUUUUCGCACUCUAACUUUAGUAAAAGUGAAUGGAAAUCUAUGAAAUUUUAACACAAGGUUUAUGACCACAAAAGGAAGGUUGGUAUUGAUUUUGGGAGUUUUGGUCCCAACAUUUUAGGAAUUAGGGGCCAAAAAGGGCCCAAAUAAGCAUUUUCUUGGUUUUCGCACUAUAACUUUAGUUUAAGUUAAUAGAAAUCUAUGAAAUUUUGACACAAGGUUUAUGACCACAAAAGAACGGUUGGGAUUGAUUUUGGGAGUUUUGGUCUCAACAGUUUAGGAAUUAGGGGCCAAAAAAAGGGCCCAAAUAAGCAUUAUUCUUGGUUUUCGCACAAUAACAUUAGUUUAAGUAAAUAGAAAUCAAUGAAAUUUAAACACAAUGUUAAUGACUACAAAAGGAAGGUUGGUAUUGAUUUUGGGAGUUUAGGUCCCAACAGUUUAGGAAUUAGGGGCCAAAAAGGGACCCAAAUAAGCAUUUUUCUUGGUUUUCGC